rnacentral:pre_miRNA from 1 species
UAGGAGCGAUUUGGCCUGCGUUCUCUGAAACACCCUGUAUAUAUAUAUAUACAGGGUGUUUCAGAGAACGCAGGCCAAAUCGCUCUUG